UUGCCAGACUCCUACGGGAGGCAGCAGUGGGGAAUAUUGCACAAUGGGGGAAACCCUGAUGCAGCGACGCCGCGUGAAGGAAGAAGUCUUUCGGUAUGUAAACUUCUAUCAGCAGGGAAGAAAAUGACGGUACCUGAGUAAGAAGCCCCGGCUAACUACGUGCCAGCAGCCGCGGUAAUACGUAGGGGGCAAGCGUUAUCCGGAUUUACUGGGUGUAAAGGGAGCGUAGACGGUUGUAUAAGUCUGGAGUGAAAGCCCGGGGCCCAACCCCGGGACUGCUUUGGAAACUGUGUAACUUGAGUACAGGAGGGGCAGGCGGAAUUCCUGGUGUAGCGGUGAAAUGCGUAGAUAUCGGGAGGAACACCGGCGGCGAAGGCGGCCUGCUGGACUGAAACUGACGUUGAGGCUCGAAAGCGUGGGGAGCAAACAGGAUUAGAUACCCUUGUA
rnacentral:rRNA from 1 species